AUUGAACGCUGGUGGCAUGCUUUACACAUGCAAGUCGAACGGCAGCGCGGGCUUCGGCCUGGCGGCGAGUGGCGAACGGGUGAGUAAUGCAUCGGAACGUGCCCAGUAGUGGGGGAUAGCCCGGCGAAAGCCGGAUUAAUACCGCAUACGACCUGAGGGUGAAAGCGGGGGACCGAAAGGCCUCGCGCUAUUGGAGCGGCCGAUGUCGGAUUAGCUAGUUGGUGGGGUAAAGGCUUACCAAGGCGACGAUCCGUAGCUGGUCUGAGAGGACGACCAGCCACACUGGGACUGAGACACGGCCCAGACUCCUACGGGAGGCAGCAGUGGGGAAUUUUGGACAAUGGGGGCAACCCUGAUCCAGCCAUGCCGCGUGCGGGAAGAAGGCCUUCGGGUUGUAAACCGCUUUUGUUCGGGAAGAAAUCCUCUGGGCUAAUGCCCCGGGGGGAUGACGGUACCGGAAGAAUAAGCACCGGCUAACUACGUG
rnacentral:rRNA from 1 species